rnacentral:rRNA from 1 species
AUUGAACGCUGGCGGCAGGCCUAACACAUGCAAGUCGAGCGAGCGGCGGACGGGUGAGUAAUGUAUGGGGAUCUGCCCGAUAGAGGGGGAUAACUACUGGACACGGUGGCUACUCCCGCAUACUUCCGGUUGAACCCCUAGGGGAUGAGCUAGUCGGUGGGGUAAAGGCGCACCUAGGCGACGCUCUCCAGCUGGUCUGAGAGGGUGAUCAGCCACACUGUGACGGAGACACGGCCCAGACUCCUAAGGGAGGCAGAAGUAGGGAAUAUUGCACAAUGGGCGCAAGCCUGAUGCAGCCAUGCCGCGUGAAUGAAGAAGGCUUUAGGGUUGUAAAGUACUUUCGUCGGAGAAGCGUUACCCGCAGAGAAAGCACCGGCUAACGCCGUGCCAGCAGCCGCGGUAAUAC